ACCACAUUUUCACGAAGGCAGUGUGAAAACGCAGCUGACCUGAUGCCACUGAGGGAUGUCCCACUCAGAGUUUGGAUAUUGGAUCCAUGGACACCAACAGAUUCUCUGCUGCUGAAAAAGCACUCAAUGGCCACCAAAAGGUGCAGGAGGAAACCGUUUUGCAGGGCUCAUCUGCAUGAGAAACCCGGGCAGCUGGGAAACACCGACAUAGGGCUCUCCUGGGGGGAGAUCCACCCAGACACUGGAGGAGAAAAGUAAUCCAUACAUCGGCUGUCUGUACCACCACCUUCGAAAAGGAAGGAAACCUCAGGAACUCUGAACCCUGGAGCAUUGGUCUGCCAUGUUCUCAGCAUCCUAACUGGCUUAGCCAACAACACACCCUGCCAGUGUCUUGCUGAUGUGGGAUCCUUUAGGUUUGUAACCUAAGGGAAAUACAUGCCAGCAAUCUACUGUGGAUGAGGUAGCACCUCCUCUGGAUGGCUGAACUGAGCUGAGACUCCUUAGAUGAGAAAUUCCAUCUGGGGUCUGGCUUUACAGGCCAUCCCUGCAUUUCCAGCACAGGAGGGCAAUGGAUACAGAGCCACCUCCACCAUAUCCUGAGCUCAGUGAGGAUGAGCAACAGAGGGCAUGGGCAUCCUCCCAUCUGCUCCCAUUCUGGAGCAAAGAUACAUCCAAAAUGCUGCAACUCUGCAAUCCUCCUCUCUUUCUGGGAUGGUUUCAAUGGUAAGAUUUACAGCCUAAAAGAUAUCACUGAAGUCAUGGCAGUAAGAGGGGCAGCUACAACAGCAAGGAGGAGAAACAGAAGUAUUUCACCGAGUCCAAGCCUUGCAGAUGGUGAGAACAACAAGCAAAAGCCAUGCUCACAGUUAAAGCUAAUGAAAUUCUACAAUCCCCAUGGGAAACUCAGAAACACAGAUCAGUAAAUUCAAGCCCAGGUAGAGCCAAAGUUUGGCAAAGUUCAUGCAUGGAGUUGAAUUUCAGAAGAAAAAUUCAUGACAUCCAACUAUCCUGUAUUUCCCACCCUGACUAACCGGGUUUAUCCUCACCUUGAAUUGGAUGAGAUACAGGACAUGUAAAAAUGUAUUAAAUCAAAAAGUGCCUCAGUGACAGCACAGGUGCUCCUGUAGUCAUAGCACAUUUCACCCAGAAGAACUUUGCAUGGAAAAGGAACAAGUGGACAAUUAUUCCCUAAAAAGAAGGGGUCAGGUAAAUGAGAUUGGAUUUAGAUCAGGCUUGGGGAUAAAAAGGAUGUACUGUGCAAUCUCCAAAUUUCCGGGUUAGAGGAAAGCUCCAGCACUUCCCCCUUCCUUUCAGGCAACUAGCUUAUGCAUUUUCAUCUGGAAGUGUGCUUCUCAAAGUGCACAGAUCAGACAUCACAGAAGAAAUGAAGCUUUGGAGAGAACCUUCACCAGGCCAGGUAAAUUCAUCUCUUCCUCCUGUUUGGAGUGUGGAAGAGGAAUCCUCACAGCACUGCAAGAACUCUCAGGUGGUUUGGAAGAUGAAGCAUGUGCCAGAAAAUAGGAGGUUGCAUUUAAAAUAGUCAUUAAGUAGUUAAUCAGUUAUGUAAUUUCAGCCUAUUUAGGGAGCUCCAUCUACUUCUCACACUCACUUUAUCCCACAAACUAAGAACAUCCUAACAUUUAUGAGCACUGGGCAUUCCUAAGGCAGUGUCGCCUGGCCAGCUCAUUCACUGGUGUAAAUCCAUCAGCUCCAUUCAGAAGAAAUAUUCCAUGGAAUAAACCCGCUCAUACUCUGGCAGCGACCCUGCGGGGUCAGGCAGGAUGUCCCAUUGUGCUCCUUCUUGCACAAACACAAUGGGGUUCAGCCCCCGGGGGCAGAGCCUCUGUCAGGCUGUUUGUGCCUCCUGACAUCGCGUUCUGCAGGAUGUUUGUUUUCAGGUCGGGGCACCCAACCAACGUGUAGACAAAGGUUCACAAAACAGGGCGUGCUUACAAGGCCAGAGCCAUGGCUAUCAGGCACACCUUCCUCCAAGGACUGACCAAAUGGAUGCUUCUCUGCUCCAAAAUAAAGAGCUACCACACAAGCUAAUUUUGGAAUACCUACUUCUCCUGGAAGCACUCAGUUUCUCUCAUAAUACUGCCCCACAUAUGUAUCACGAAUAUGGCAAAAUCCAGGUGAAUUUCUGGUUCUGUUUUGAUGCUAAAAUCAAAAGUUGUUCAUUAAGACCAGUGUCUCACCCAAACACAGUUAAACUAAAAAGCCAAGCGAUGUGUGGUUUGCAGGAAAACUUUCCUGAAUUUGUAUUUAUUGGUAAAUAAAUGAGGCACUACCUCAAAAAAGCUUCACCAGGAGCAGCGGGAAUGGCAGCUCCUGAGAAAACUAGCUGCACUGCAACCAUUUAUCACAAACAUCAACCAAGCUGUAAACAUCACUCCGGAGAUCACAAGGUUUUUUGAGCAGCUCCUUGCCACAGGCUCCUCAUGGCUGGGCAACUAAUGCCAAGGGAAGAAGCCAUGUCUUGGUUCCUCCCACCAGCUGGAGGAAGGUGAAAGACAACCACAGGGAAGAACUACAAAUGAUCAAGAGCUGCCCUGCAAAUGAAGGGUCAUCAGAACAAGACCUGUGCAGCCCCAAGUGCUGUGUAAGGCUGCUAAAUCCAGCUGUGUGACAGCAGAACAGAAUUUUAUUCUAGGUUUUUUUCUGAAGCACCACCAUGACUGACAAAUGCUCCAGUUGGAAAAAGGCCAACAAUGAAUCAGGAUUCCUUAGAAUUUGGAGGUAAUUUUAGCAGAACAAGAAAUGCAGAAGUAUCAGUGAGUCCUGAACAUUCCUCCAGGACAAAAAUCUAUUACUUCAUAUAAGUCCAUUAAAACACUUCAUCUAGCCCCUUUAAUCCCUCUUAACAGAUUUGCUUUAUCACAAACAGAGGAGCUAAUCCUCUCCCACCUGUCUUUAUGAUAUGGAACCAUAAAUAAGAGCAAGUACUUUUCAUUUGUUAGGCAUUAUCCCCCCUUGGAUAACCCACCCCAGCAUUUCUGUAAUGGAGCCAUCUUUGGAGAACCACCCCAACUCUGAGGGCAAAUUCUCACUUCAGCCAUGGAAUCCUCCAGCAUGGAACGUGGAAACUUUAUCUACCCAUUGUUUUUAUUGCUAAAUUACUGUUUCCUAAAUUCAUCUCUUACCACAAGUUUUGAGACACUAAGCAAAGUGAGAAUUCCAGCUUGCUGGACUUGCCUUUUUUCUUCAACCCAGACCUUACACAUCUGAGGCCUUCGCUGUUGGAACCAGAUGGCAGCCUCGGCCAAAUCCAUCACCCACCCGUGCAAUUAGGUCAGUAGGUCAGCUGAACUUACUGCCAUUAAUGGUAAUUACAUCACCAUUUCACACAGAGUGGAAAAUGUAAAUGUAAAUUACUGGCUUCUCAAAACAAAAAUAUCAGGGAAAAAAGUAAUUUUUAUGAGCUACAUUGCAAUAGGCUCUGCAGACAUGGAGGAGUAACGUCAAACAGCCCCCCUGAUAAAUUUGGGGUUGAAGGACUGCAACAUGCACUUCAGUACCCUAAUUGCUGGAAACCCCCUCAGCAACCCCCCUUCCAACAGAACACAGCAUCCCUGGAUGGCCAUUCCACUGUGGAAAGUAGAACAGACACAGUGGCUGACCACUUGGGGCACACUAAAAGUAACCUGUGUCUCUUCAGGCUGUGGAAGCUUCACUUCCUCCAGCUGUCAGCUUACUCUGCUCUUUCAGCUGGAAAGAGAAUUUGUGCGCUCCCAUCCAACUCUGUGUGGUUCUACACCACAAAAUCCAACUGCCUGAAUGAAUCCCCAGCCCCUUCCAUGGCACAGUGCAAUGACCUCACGUUCCAGAGCAGCCAGAAGCGAGCUCAGAUAGAUUUGUGUCACAGUUGAGACUGCCACGACACACAGAGCAUCACCACACAAUUUCAGAAGGCUUUAAGCAUUUGCCCAAACAGAGUAACACCUUACCUCAUCAGAAGGCUUCUGCCCACAUAGAGCAACACCCUGUCACUUCAGGAGACUGCCAACAUCUCUCACCUUGUCCCCCAGCCCAGCCUUUUAUCCCCUGAUGCUGAUGCACGGCCCCUGUGUGCCCUCUGUCCCUUUGGUGGUUGGUCAGUGCCCUGGGCACUCGUUACCCCCAGUGCUGCUCACCUGCUCUGCACAGCUGUGGCCCAUUGGGGAUGAGGCUCAGCUUCAGUCCCAUUCCCAAUUAACACAAACUGUGUGCCUGCACAUUUGUAUGUUCAAUACAAAGCAUACAGCAUCUAACCCUAGACAAAAAACAUAUUAUUCUCAUUUUCUAACACUGUCUGCUUUACCUGGCAAUUAGAAAACCAUGUAAGACCUGCAAGGAACUGUUUUCUUCUCCUUGCUGUGUAGGUCCAAGUCAAUUUUUUCUCUAGAGGCACCGCAACCUCAAGUUAUUCCUAAAAUCUGGUUAGUAAAGGGAGCAUUAGUAUGACUAACUAGAGUGUAGCUGUUGUUUUAAAAAAACAGAUCUGAAACAGUGUCACGACAUAGCUCCCGAUGGAAGACAAUCAUUAAAGAAUGGAGAACACGUGGGUCCUUUGGGACCAACCCAAACCCCCAGGUAAGUCAGUGACUGGCUGAAAAAGAAGAGACAGAGGGCAAUGUCUUCCUUGAGGAGGCACAAGCAGCAUCCCUGGAGCGGGGGCUGGCUGUGAUCCAGCACUGGAGGCGUUGGCUCCGCGUUCCCGGGUGUCAGCACAGCGGACAUCUCUGGCCAGCGCCGGACAGGGCCCCCAUUGUGUGCCGGGGCCAUUCGCAGCUGUCGCUCUUCGAGACGCGCGGUGACAGCGAAGGGUCGCCAGUCCCUGCUCCUCAGGAACGUUCCUCUCCUGGAAGUUCCUGCUUCCUCCCGGGAAAUCUUGGAAAGCAGAAGCCGUGUGCAGCCGGUGCUGCCCCCCAGCCUGUCACUUCUGUCACACGGAGGAGCAGCACCGCCUGCACCCUGCAGAGCACUCCUAGAUGUACUCAGAUGAUGAUUUCUCUCUGUGCCUCUCCGGGGUCAUCUGUGCUGCUUAAUAUAAAAGCAGCUUCUCAGUCAGCCCUGUUCCAUGACACUGCAUCAGCUGGGAUGGAAUUAACUACAAAAAGGCGAGCUUAUUCAAAUCACCACGGUGCUGGGAGUCAGAGCAGCUUGAAUAUGGUAAUUCAAAGCAGCAGGACUUCAAAAAAGAGCAAGAUAUGACACAUUUGUCAAGUCACUGCUCUGUUCUGAAGUG